UUGCAUUCAAGCGGAGGAAAAGAAACCACCAGGGAUUACCUCAGUAACGGCGAGUGAAGCGGUAAAAGCUCAAAUUUGAAAUCUGGCUCUUUCAGAGUCCGAGUUGUAAUUUGUAGAAGAUGCUUCGGGUGUGGUUCCGGUCUAAGUUCCUUGGAACAGGACGUCAUAGAGGGUGAGAAUCCCGUAUGUGACUGGAUACCUAUGCUCAUGUGAAGCUCUUUCGACGAGUCGAGUUGUUUGGGAAUGCAGCUCAAAAUGGGUGGUAUAUUUCAUCUAAAGCUAAAUAUUGGCCAGAGACCGAUAGCGCACAAGUAGAGUGAUCGAAAGAUGAAAAGCACUUUGGAAAGAGAGUUAAACAGUACGUGAAAUUGUUGAAAGGGAAGCGCUUGCAAUCAGACUUGCACUUGGUGUUCAUCAGGGUUUCGUGCCCUGUGUACUUCAUCAAGUUCAGGCCAGCAUCAGUUUGAGUGGUUAGAUAAAGGCUUGGAGAAUGUGGCCCUCUUCGGGGGGUGUUAUAGCUCCAGGUGCAAUGUAGCCUACUUGGACUGAGGACCGCGCUUCGGCUAGGAUGCUGGCGUAAUGGUUGUAAGCGACCCGUCUUGAACACGACCAA
rnacentral:rRNA from 1 species